rnacentral:lncRNA from 1 species
CUGACUGCGGCCUGUUCACUUUAUUCUCCUCGUGCCAGGAAGGAAGGGACUUAACUGGGUUGGCCAAGGUGGUCAAUCCUGAUCACCAGGGGGGAAUUGGGCUAUCACCCCAAAGUAGAGGUAAAGAAAAAUAUAUCCGGAAACUUUAGAGCAUCUCUUAGUAUCAUCAUGCCCUAGAUUGGUAGGACUUCUAAAUUUCACAUAAGCCUGGAUGUUAUACACCUCAGUGGUCCAGCAAAUCUAGCAGUAUGUCGUAUGUGUUCGAAUAUGUAGAAAAUGUGUCUGUAAGCCUGAUGCAUGAGAAUAGAGCAGGAUCUGCUAAAAAUACAGCAUCCGGUGCUGCCUCUCCACUUGUAAUAGAGGCCUGGCCAGGUAGGAGGCCACGUUUCUUUUCUAUCACUUCUUUUUUCUUCAAUCUUUUCUUCCUUUUGAACCUCCUUUUCUUCUGCAUGCCCAGCCCCAGCCUCCUUAUCCUCCUCCUUUCAAAUUAUCUGGCUGGGGAAACAUUUUCAAGCUUAAAGGAAUUCAAAGGAAUCAACCUUAAAACCUUGGCGAGGGGUGGUUUAUUCUAUUACAUACUUCUGUAUAUGUGUUUCAUAAUAUUGCUAAAAAUUUUGAAAAAGAAAAUGACCCCAGGGAUACUCAGAAAGUUUGGCAGGAAAAAUAAACAAACAAAAAGACAAAAAAAAAAAAAAAUCUCUCUCCCACUGUUGCAAUAUUCCAAGGGGGAAAAGCCCAACAAUAAGUGCAAAACACACUAAGUGCAAAAAUACACAUGGAGAAAUUUAUCAUGACAUUCAGAGAAAAAAAAUACUGAAGUUUUUCUUGAAGCUUGAUGUAACUCAUAUGAAAUAUCAAAUGGCAAAUAUUGGCCAGGAGAAGUAGGUGCCAGUUGCAACAGUUAUCAAGGCAGGGUAACAGGAUUAUGAUAGAACGAAUAAAUACAGAUAUGUCCUCUACA